rnacentral:tRNA from 1 species
GGGCUGUUAGCUCAGUGGCAGAGCAUCGGACUUUUAAUCCGAGGGCCGCAGGUUCGAUUCCUGCACAGCCCACCA